UAUGUAGGGUGCGAGCGUUAAUCGGAAUUACUGGGCGUAAAGCGUGCGCAGGCGGUGAUGUAAGACAGAUGUGAAAUCCCCGGGCUCAACCUGGGAACUGCAUUUGUGACUGCAUCGCUGGAGUGCGGCAGAGGGGGAUGGAAUUCCGCGUGUAGCAGUGAAAUGCGUAGAUAUGCGGAGGAACACCGAUGGCGAAGGCAAUCCCCUGGGCCUGCACUGACGUUCAUGCACGAAAGCGUGGGGAGCAAACAGG
rnacentral:rRNA from 1 species